rnacentral:lncRNA from 1 species
AUAAAUCGAACACGAUAAAAACUAUGUUUCAAACCUUUCAAGUAAUUAACCCAAAUCUUCUUUUUCUAAAGUUUGCUUAUUAUUUCACUAUUAUUGUCAUGUAGCACGGUCAUAACUUAAUAAAUGACGAUUUAUGUCUUUUAAAAAAUAAAAAAAUAGAAAAAAAUAAAAAAUAAAAAUAAAAAAUUUCACAAAUUAAUAUAUAAUAUUAAUAAAAACAACAAUAAUCUC